rnacentral:rRNA from 1 species
AGUGGCGGAAGGGUCAGUAAUGGGAUCGAAUGUACCCCGAGGUGGAGGAUAGCGUUGGGAAACUAACGGUAAUACUCCAUGUCCUCUACGGAGAAAAGAUUUAUCGCUUGGGAGCAGCGAUCCUCCUAUCAGGUAGUUGGCGGGGUAAAAGCCCACCAAGCCGAAGACGGGUAGCGGGUGUGAGAGCACGGCCCGCGACAUCGAGACUGAGACACUGCUCGGACUCCUACGGGAGGCUGCAGUAACGAAUAUUCCGCAAUGCGCGAAAGCGUGACGGAGCAAUGCCGCGUGCAGGAUGAAGCGGUUUUGCCGUGUAAACUGCUGUCAGGGAUAAGAAAUACUGAUCUAUCCCAGAGGAAGGGGCGACUAACUCUGUGCCAGCAGUCGCGGUAAUACAGAGGCCCCGAGCGUUAAUCGGAAUCACUGGGCUUAAAGGGUGCGUAGGCGGGCCAGUAAGCGCUUUGUGAAAUCCCACGGCUCAACCGUGGAACCGCAGGGCGAACUGCUGGUCUUGAGGAAGCUAGAGGCGGGUAGAACGAUAGGUGGAGCGGUGGAAUGCGUAGAGAUCUAUCGGAAUGCCGAAAGUGAAGACAGCCCGCUGGGGCUUUCCUGACGCUAAAGCACGAAAGCGUGGGGAGCAAACCGGAUUAGAUACCCNGGUAGUCCUCGCCCUAAACGAUGUGCACUAGACUGG